CCCAGUGCCUCGCAUGUGCCAGGCAGGCGCUCUACCACUGAGUACAACCCCAGCCCUAAAGAUGCGCGGAGGGUUAUUUCUUCUGGCCAUUGCAAGCAGUGCUCUGUGAUGCACUCUGAAUUCCUUGGGGUGCACCGGCUUGGGCCUCCCCAGCACAGUGCGUGCAGGAGGCCGUGGGGUCUGGGCCGGGCAGCCCCAGCAUUCACACCCACUCCAGCUCCUUCUGGGUCUGGGACCCUCAGUUUUGUGAGAAGGGUCGGAACUUGCAGACCAAGUCCAGAGUCUGCUGCCUGGAGCUCUUGCCUCAAAGUAGGUUAAAAACAAAAACCAGACGUUCUAAGAAAGCGGCUGUGACCUUUCCAAAAGCAGGAUCAAAUUGUGUCAUUUAUCUUUUCCGGGGCACUCCUGCCUCUGCUCAGCAACUGCAGCGGCUUUCUGAGUUAAGGACACUCUCCUCUGAGAGGGCACAGGCGCUCUGGCUCUCCUCGCCUCACAGGUCACAGGGACUGGACUCCGGACAGCAGGGCACUCUCGGGCAGCCUGGGCCUGGCGGCCUUACCGUCUCCAGAAGUAGAUGCUGGGGCUCCUCAGCCUCUAGCAGCUGGCUCUUCUACGAUGUGACAGCUGUGUGUCAAAACAAGGCCCUUCCUCCGCCUCUGCUCCUGUGUUGACCCCACAGGCAAACACUCGCUGGUUUCCUCCAGUUUAUUUCACUUCUAUGUGUAGAAGAUGUUCAAAGUAAUCCUUGCUCAUGUUAAAACUUCAAGCCCUGUAGGUGACAGGGAUGUCUUUUUCUAAUGUCUGGCCGCCUUCCCCACAGAGGCAGCUGUUGUGGCCUAUCGCUGAAGCUUCCAGAGAAUUCUGUGUUCACAUAAAGCUGUGGAGGGACAGGCAUAGCACACAAACUGACUUGGAAUCGGGUGUCUACCGGCUCUCUCUUGGUCCUUCAACACCCGUGUGAACUGUGGCCACCCCUUUUAGGGUGCAACUAGGUUGUUUCCAGCAUUUUGAGUGUUUCUCAGCUUUACAGAAUCUGCCUACCUGCCUGCGCCUUCAUGUAUUUUUUUUUUUUUUUAAGAGAGAGUGAGAGAGGAGAGAAUUUUUUUUUUUAAAUAUUUAUUUUUUAGUUCUCGGCGGACACAACAUCUUUGUUGGUAUGUGGUGCUGAGGAUCGAACCCAGGCUACACGCAUGCCAGGCGAGCGUGCUACCGCUUGAGCCACAUCCCCAGCCCCGUGCGCCUUCAUGUACAUGGGCAAGUAUAUCAUUGGGGCAAAGUUUUCUCUAGGAGGAAUUCUGGGGCCUGGGCCAGGUCCUUUCCAGAUAUGAUGAAUGCUGCUAGGGAGGUGGUUCCAGCUGAUACUUCCCCACACUUUACCAACUCUGUGCUCUCAAAUUUGGUUUGUGCUGCUAAAAAUUGGUAUUUAAUUGUAAUUCCUAUUUGUGUUUCUACUGGAUUAUAUACUUAUUGGUUUAUAAGAGCUCUCUAUAUAUUAAGGAAAUUAAAACCUUUAUCAUUUGUGCUGUAAAUACUUUCCUAUUCUCACUGAUAUUUGAGUUUUAUGGUAUUUUGCUGCCCAAAGUUGUAAAUAUGUAUACUCUCAUUUAUAGACAUCUAAUGGCUUCUGCACAAGAUUUUUCUUUUAUUUUUAUCGGACCUAUCUGGACUUAAUUUUGGCAAUAAGUGACUCCAAGUGCUUAGCCUUUAGUCUCCAUAUCAUUUAGUGAUUGACACAGCUGGUGGCCAUUGAUCUAUUCAUGUGCAGUUCCACAUAAGUUUAAAUAUUGUACUCUAUGCUUUAAUAUAUGGUGGGGGUGGCCCUGUCUCUUUACUGCACUUUCCUGAAUAUUCCUGGCUAGACUUGCAUGAUUACUUGAACCUUCCCUAUGAUGUCUUCCUGAUAUUCCUUCUGUGCAAGAGUAAGGUAUGUCUUUCCCUGUACUCGCAGUGCUUUAGUCGGCCUUCCUAUUAUGUGGAAAGCUGUGGUGAGUGAUAUUGGCCUUGGUCUGUCUGCCUCCGGGACCCUUUACUGAUAAUUCACACAGACCACUUACGUGUUUAUUUUGGGUAAUGGUUACUAGUGCUGUUAACACUGUCAAUAUCUUGAGUGGUCUUUGCAGUUGAAAUGCUCCUAUUCACGCUGUCCUGCUAAAAAUGCCUGUAUGUUUAUGCCAAGCCAGAAAUUGUACCCAAGGUCACAUUCAGGGAGGGUUUGCCUUCUGAACCUCUGCCCCGUGUGGCUGGCGUGGCCAGCGCUUCUCCUCCUUUCAAGGUCGAGCCUGUUCUAUUUCUGAUAGGAUUUCUUUUUUUUCUGAUAGGAUUUCUUCUGACUUGGGGAUGAAAUAGGGAAGAUGGCCUCUUGCUUAGCAGCGCAGUCCCAGGUCCAGAUGGUCUGAACAGUUGGGAGGUUUUCGCCAAGCGCCCCACAGAGGGUUUCAGCCAUAACCCCCUGCCUACCCUGUCCUUGUGUUUAUCUUCUCUGGUUUUAAGGCAGAAAUAACAUUAGCAUUUUGUCUUUCUGUUUUGUUGUGGUGCUGGGGGUGGAACCCAGGCCUUCUGCGCAUGUCUGUGUUUUAAUUUGCACUUUUUGAUUCUGAGAAGCGGUGAGUACCUGGUGUGUGGGCCUGUGCUUUCACUGCUGGGCGAGAACUGUGUUGGGGACCCCGUUAGCCUUGUAUACUACAAAAUGUUUCUCGAGUUUGUGGUUUGCCUUUUAAUUUUGUGUGUUGGAUCUGGCUAAUUUGUUAAAUUUUGUAAU